rnacentral:rRNA from 1 species
AGUGGGGAAUAUUGCACAAUGGGCGCAAGCCUGAUGCAGCGACGCCGCGUGAGGGAUGACGGCCUUCGGGUUGUAAACCUCUUUCAGCAGGGAAGAAGCGAGAGUGACGGUACCUGCAGAAGAAGCGCCGGCUAACUACGUGCCAGCAGCCGCGGUAAUACGUAGGGCGCAAGCGUUGUCCGGAAUUAUUGGGCGUAAAGAGCUCGUAGGCGGUGUGUCGCGUCUGCUGUGAAAACCCUAGGCUCAACCUGGGGCUUGCAGUGGGUACGGGCACACUAGAGUGCGGUAGGGGUGACUGGAAUUCCUGGUGUAGCGGUGGAAUGCGCAGAUAUCAGGAGGAACACCGAUGGCGAAGGCAGGUCACUGGGCCGCAACUGACGCUGAGGAGCGAAAGCAUGGGGAGCGAA